CCAGGGAGGCUGCAGUGGGGAAUAUUGGACAAUGGGCGAAAGCCUGAUCCAGCCAUGCCGCGUGUGUGAAGAAGGCCUUCGGGUUGUAAAGCACUUUCAGUGGGGAAGAAAGCCUUGGGGCUAAUACCCUCGAGGAAGGACAUCACCCACAGAAGAAGCACCGGCUAACUCCGUGCCAGCAGCCGCGGUAAUACGGAGGGUGCGAGCGUUAAUCGGAAUUACUGGGCGUAAAGCGCGCGUAGGCGGUCUGAUAAGCCGGUUGUGAAAGCCCCGGGCUCAACCUGGGAACGGCAUCCGGAACUGUCAGGCUAGAGUGCAGGAGAGGAAGGUAGAAUUCCCGGUGUAGCGGUGAAAUGCGUAGAGAUCGGGAGGAAUACCAGUGGCGAAGGCGGCCUUCUGGACUGACACUGACGCUGAGGUGCGAAAGCGUGGGUAGCAAACAGGAUUAGAUACCCUAGUAGUC
rnacentral:rRNA from 1 species